AUGUCUUAAGGCUUCACCAAAAAAAACUGGACACAAAAGCCCUUGAAACAAAAAAAAUUAAAACUGAAGUAAAUUAUGAAACUAAAUGUUUCAUGGGCAUUUGUGUAAAUAAAACAGAAAAAAAAUUGACAAAAAAAAAGGAAGAAUUUCAAACGUGGGGAAAGGCUGGAGAAUAAUUAGAGAAUUUCAAACUCACUGAUUACCAGCGGAAACCAACCCACCCACCCACGUCUCUCCUCUAUUCCCCAUUUUCUGAUGAAACUUCUUCCUCACACAGACUCUGUAACCUCCCACGAUUCCACGGACAACUCUUUUCUUUCUGUUUUCUCUCUCUGCCUUUCGCCGUUUGUGAAGCAGAAACCACAUACAAAGCUCAAAAGCAGCAAAGGGUUAAAAACUGGCGUAUUGUAUCCGAUGGGAAGAUCCCUCUGAAACCAAGGCAAUCCAAUCUGGGAUCCUUAAACCAUUGCCAUCCAAGAGCAUUCCCGCGUGCAGAUGACAUGCCUGAAUGAUCAACACCAGCACCCCACCCAACACUAGCAGCCUUUGGUGUUUCCACAGAGGAGGAUUUUUCAGAGACGUUUCCCGCAUAACGCUGCCAGCAUUGUAACUCUCUUCCAAAUCCAGUAAUCCAGUGAAUUAAGGUUGCUGUAAAGAGACCAUCCACAAAUUAGUACGAACCAGAGAGAGACAGAGAUACCGAGAGCACUACGACUGCGAGGUCGCCGCCACCGCCGGAGCGAUCACUCCAAUUACAAUACCCGAGACAUCACCUUAUCCCAGGUGCUACCAUCUUUCGCAGGAAACAUGAUAGAAUGAACGAUUGUAUUGGACUACUAGGUGUUUGUGAAAAUUCCCCAGAGAGCUAGAAACAAGGAUAUGAUGCAAAUCUGAAAGUAGGCUGUUUUGAUGAAAGAAGGAAGUUCAAUUUAUCAAGGAUCAAGGUUUGGACUACUAGACAGCACGCCGCCUUCGAUUUGAGGUAUGGAAGUCUCCAACUAGCUCAGAUACUUCCGUUUUACACCAUCAAUCCAGUUUUUAUUUUUCACUCUUUUCAUUUUCUUUGUUCCUUGCUGCCUUCUUAAUUCUCAUUCUCCUAUUGUAUACAAUGCAGUUGAUCUUUUGUGUUAUUUGAUACUUUUAUUAGUGGUUCUUGACAGCUUGCAUGAUGCUUAUUGUUGAAUGGUUUCUUAUUCUCAUGCGAUUUUUUUCCUCUCUUCGUCCAGCAUUCACCAAUAAGCGAAAGUUUCUUUUAGUUGCACGGAGAUAUAGGCAUGGCUCUCACACCGAGUAUAUAAAUAGAUUAUAAUAUCACUUGAUGCUGAUGACAUAUCCCAACGAACCAAUGCUUAUGUGGGAAAAUUAAGGUAAGGUUUUUUUAUGAAAGAAAGUAAAGUUAAGGGUGGUUUUCUUUUUUAUUCCAGGAGUUGUGGUUCUUCAUUUUUUGGGGCCUUUUUCUCUGCUAUUGUAACAUUUUGGUAAUAGAGAAAGAACUGCUGUGAAAUUCUUCCAGUUUUGGCAAGACACUGCAAUCCUACUUCUGCUUUUCCAUUGCCUUCCAGGUAUUUUCUCUUCCAGUUAAAGUGGGACAACCGUAUCACACGCUUGCCUUUCUCGGAGCCGUCUACUUUUGAAUUUGGAAUUUGGGUUUUAUCGGAAGAUUGCUUCUUUCUUCCGGAUUAAUUUCGUGAAUAAUUGGGGCAGUUCGAUCCGCUGACGGGUCAGCAUUAGCAAAGGAGACGUAUUCACUUUUAAGAUUCCCAAAGGACUUCAACAUAUCAAGUAUGGAGGGAAAUGAUAGAACCAAUAUGUCAGAGGUCGGCAAUGAAGAAGUUCACUUCGGACAAACAAAUGUCACAAUUCUCAACAGUCAAACCAAAGGUAUCGUAGGAGCAAUCAACAAAGGCAAAGACGACAAUCUAUGAAUUCAUCACAGCGGGCUCGAAUUUCACUGCGACGACUUGCCAAUUAUCAAACACGAUUGAACUCAGUAAAUAUAGUACAAAAUCAAACGGAAGUAAACCAAGAUGACAUAGGACCAACAUCGGUGGGUAACUAUGAUUUCUUAUUUUUUUUGUCUCUAUUAAUUAUAUAUUUGUAAAUUCAUACGUUGUAUGAAUAUUUUUGUACAAAUUAUUAAGACACAUCUAUUAAGAUUGAACGAAUGGUUAUCUUACAUUGUCA